ACGACCGUAACUCGGACAGAACAGAGGUGUCCUAAGCCUACGGAAGCAGGUUCGACUCCUGCCGGUCGUA
rnacentral:tRNA from 1 species